AGGAGCUCCUGGCAGGGACAAACAGAGCCCCGCAAGGGGUGGAGGGACAGGCGCUUGGUGGCCGGGGAGCCGGCUUGCCGCCCAGCCCCUCGCCGCUGCCCCUGCUCAUCCUUCAUGCUCCCCCUUGCUUUCCCACAGGCAACUGGACAAUAACCACAUCAGCUGCAUUGAAGAUGGAGCCUUCCGAGCGCUGCGCGAUUUGGAGAUCCUCACCCUUAACAACAACAACAUCAGCCGUAUCCUGGUCACCAGCUUCAACCACAUGCCGAAGAUCCGGACCCUGCGUCUCCACUCCAACCACCUGUACUGUGAUUGUCACUUGGCCUGGCUCUCAGACUGGCUGCGACAGCGGCGGACCAUUGGCCAGUUCACCCUCUGCAUGGCGCCCGUGCACCUGA
rnacentral:lncRNA from 1 species